rnacentral:rRNA from 1 species
AUUGAACGCUGGCGGCAGGCCUAACACAUGCAAGUCGAGCGGAUGAAGGGAGCUUGCUCCUGGAUUCAGCGGCGGACGGGUGAGUAAUGCCUAGGAAUCUGCCUGGUAGUGGGGGAUAACGUCCGGAAACGGGCGCUAAUACCGCAUACGUCCUGAGGGAGAAAGUGGGGGAUCUUCGGACCUCACGCUAUCAGAUGAGCCUAGGUCGGAUUAGCUAGUUGGUGGGGUAAAGGCCUACCAAGGCGACGAUCCGUAACUGGUCUGAGAGGAUGAUCAGUCAACCUGGAACUGAGACCCGGUCCAGACUUCUACGGGAGGCCACAGUGGGGAAUUUUGGACAAAGGGCCAAAGCCUGAUCCAGCCAUGCCGGGGGUGUGAAGAAGGUCUUCGGAUUGUAAAGCACUUUAAGUUGGGAGGAAGGGCAGUAAGUUAAUACCUUGCUGUUUUGACGUUACCAACAGAAUAAGCACCGGCUAACUUCGUG